rnacentral:snRNA from 1 species
CAGAGUGGCCUUGCUGCCACGAU